UUGAGAGUUUGAUCCUGGCUCAGAACGAACGCUGGCGGCAGGCCUAACACAUGCAAGUCGAGCGGAAACGAGUUAUCUGAACCUUCGGGGGACGAUAACGGCGUCGAGCGGCGGACGGGUGAGUAAUGCCUAGGAAAUUGCCCUGAUGUGGGGGAUAACCAUUGGAAACGAUGGCUAAUACCGCAUGAUGCCUACGGGCCAAAGAGGGGGACCUUCGGGCCUCUCGCGUCAGGAUAUGCCUAGGUGGGAUUAGCUAGUUGGUGAGGUAAGGGCUCACCAAGGCGACGAUCCCUAGCUGGUCUGAGAGGAUGAUCAGCCACACUGGAACUGAGACACGGUCCAGACUCCUACGGGAGGCAGCAGUGGGGAAUAUUGGACAAUGGGCGAAAGCCUGAUCCAGCAAUGCCGCGUGAGUGAUGAAGGCCUUAGGGUUGUAAAGCUCUUUUACCCGGGAUGAUAAUGACAGUACCGGGAGAAUAAGCCCCGGCUAACUCCGUGCCAGCAGCCGCGGUAAUACGGAGGGGGUUAGCGUUGUUCGGAAUUACUGGGCGUAAAGCGCGCGUAGGCGGACUGGAAAGUUGGGGGUGAAAUCCCGGGGCUCAACCCCGGAACUGCCUCCAAAACUAU
rnacentral:rRNA from 1 species